rnacentral:ncRNA from 21 species
UUCGUCGGCGGCAGCGUGAUGCGGCGCCAGCAUCAGAAGGGCCAAAAGGAGCGCCCGGCGGAUCCGGCCGGGCGGGAAAAGAAAGCGCGUCGAUGAAAAGCCGGCUGGCCCAGGAAAGCGCAUGGCGUGAAGUAUGGCCGAUA